AGGACCACGGACUUCCGUUUCGUUCCGCCUGUAAGUCCCGCCUGGUCCCGCCUCCUCCUGAAAAGAGCUCAGUUGUCAAGGAACUAUUUUUCUUGCCGUCGUCCCAGAGAUGCCUUUGGAAAAGCGGAAGGGCACGGAGGGUUCUGGAGUUCGUUGCUGGCACCUGCGUGGUGUCAUGAGAACGUGGCGGGGCGGGCAGCAGCACAUAAAUCAUACAUCAGUCAUCCAGUGAUACAAAGAGGUGGCCAAUUGUGUCUGAAGUAGUCACUUGUAAAGGAUCACAACCCAGGCAGUGUUGCUUUUCUGCAAACAGAAGGAAACAGAAGGCUCCAUGGUCCUUGAAGAUUAUCCAAGUUUUCCACUAGUUGUCAAGAUUUCUGUCCCAACCUCUUAGUCACCAUUUACAGCAAGAAGAGCCAGCAAGUGAAAAACUGUUAAUUUAUUGAUUCAAAGUUGUUUUUUUUCUUUUUAAAAAACAAUCCCCAAUACAUGCAGUUCAGGGUUAAGUAUCACAUUUGUAGCACAUUGUUGAGUCUCAAAACAAAAAUAUGCAUCACCUGUAUAAUCCCAUCACAUCUUUUUCCAGCCUCUACAAUACCUAGUUGGGGGUGUUUUCAUUUAUACAUCCACAUAGCUCAGAAGCAUGUUAUUAACGGUUGAUCUGGCCCGAUGCUUCUCCGCCACCUCCCCUGCCCUGGUCUCCACCUCGGGGUUAUUUUUUUCUAAAGGCAGGAUGUUACUCAGUCUUAAUUUAUUAAGAUCACUGACAAACUUUGGCUUCUUGUGUGCUCAUGUGGUCCCUGCUUUUGCUUUCGGAAGGGUUUAUAUUGAAACGACUGUGACUCUGAUCGGUUAUUAUCCCCUCAUUUUUUGUAGGAAAUAAGUUUGCUUGUUUCUGUGGGUGCUCACACAGUAACACAGGUUCCUAAAGUAACCAUUUAAUCUGAACUGGUAUUAAAGGAAACUGUUAACCAGGCUCUCUUAGAUCUAUUUCAGUUCAUAUAAAAAAACUCUUCCAAUUGUUGCUUGUGUCUCAAAGUAGUUCUGCUUCCAUCCUUAUCAACAGAGCACCUGGGAGAACCUAAGUCAUUUCCCUGAGUAGGCACAGACCACGAGCCCCGCGGCACCCAGCUCUCUCUGGGACUAAGCGCCUGACUCGAGAGCACCACCUUUCAGUCCACUGGGACCAAUCCAGUGGGCAGCGCCCUCCCCAGGGUACAUUCCAGAACAUAAACUUGGUACCCUCUAAUUUAUCCCCUCAAGAAGUUAAUUUCCUCCUCAAGAGCUACCUUUAGAUGGAUUUUCUUAUUGGUCCCUUUUCUUUUAACAGCCCUUCCCCUAGCCACUCUCUUCAAGUCCCCAAGGAUUACGAGUUUGUCUGUCUCCUCUAAUCUAUCAGUCUGAGAGCACCUUCCUCUCUGCAAGGGAACACAUUUGCUUUAAACCUUGUGAGUGCUGACAUGUUACAGAAUGUCUGGGAGGAGGCCUGGCUGAGUGACUGGUGUUUAAGUGCCUCAAUGAACGACAUCAGCGCUUCUCUAGUUGGUGAGAAGGCCCAGGAAAGCUUGGUCUGCGUCAUACACUCAAUAGCUUCUCCUACCCAGCCACCUACCCUGCCUACAGGGAUAGGAUGAAAGCAAGGCCAGCUGACAGCAUCCAGGGGAGAGUGAACUGCCACCACACCAGAGGUGCAAAUGUGACUCAGCACUUCAUGAGUUCUACUCUCACCAUGGGAUUUCUCAGCAGAAGCAAACCUUGCAGUCAGGCUCACUUGUAGCCAACAAAUGAUAUAGCCAUCUGGAUUUGGCAUAGGAACCUUUUGUUCUCACCAUACCAGGUCUAUGUUCUUGAACAUAGGCAGUACCUGAGAUGAUAGUAUAACACUACCCUGUUCCCCACAUUUUUUGCUUUUCUUUAGGAAAUAAUUAAGUCCUUAUCAUAGGCACUUUUAACCUGUUUAAGAUAAUGAAGCAAACAAAUGAAAAGUACUGAGAUGAGUUUAAGAAAGAAUAUGCUAACUGAAAAGGAUACUGGGUGCGUACAUUUACCAUGGUUUAGUCUAAAUAUUAGACACACAGACACACACACAGACACACACACAGACACACACACAGACACACACACAGACACACACACACCCCUUUUGGAACUCUCCAAGACCAUCUCCGAAUCUAGGUAAAUAGUCUUAAAAUUUCGGGGGAGCUAGGUUUGGAAACAAAAAUGGUUUUUGGAGACAGGAAAAGAGAUGGUCUGAAACUGGACUCACUUCAGUUUGGAAAGGAAUAGCCUAGGUGCCAAGACCAGACCCAGGAAGGGGUGAGCAUUUCAAGCCCAGUUAUGGUCUAAGUCUAAGGCAUGAAGAGAGGUAAAAGUCUAGGUGCUGGAAAAGCAAGCUGUGUGCUUCAAAGGAAGAAUGCCUGUGUCAAAGCUGCAGUUACAAAACCCCAGGACAAGGCAGGCAGGCGGUGUCUGCACCUACAUCACCGUCAGAGAGACAGGCAGAGGUCAAUCACCUGACUAUUCUCCUCCAGGUACUUUUAUUACCUUUGGGGGACCCAAGGGAAAGGAAUGGAGUUACCGCUUCACCAAGACCCUCCAGUAGGCACCUCUUGCCUGGUCCAGACAGGCAACUUAAAAAAAAAAAGGGAGGGCUGAGGAGUGGGGUGGGGUGAUAAAGGAGAUUGGAGGGGGAGCAGGAAAGACACGCAGUGGCACAUCUCCCUGAUGAUAACCAAUGCUUCAGGAUUGCCUAUAAGGGCAUAUUAGAAGGCUUUUGAUAAUCUCAAACACUGAGUUUUGCUGCCUGACAUAUCAAUACAGGUUUAGCCAAAGAGCUCACAUCUUGCUUUUGAUUUUCAGGUAGAACAAAUGUUUACAUUAGUAUACAGAAUGUGCAAUGCAAGCAGGCAGCAUUGGUAUGAGAACCUUAACUGAAUGCAUUCCUUGGCUUUGGGAUCUUAUUUAUUUUUUACUCUAUAAACUCAACUCUAUAAUAAGAGAAGAGUUUCAUUUGUAUUUUAAGUUCCCACAGACCAAACGACAAAAAUAGAAUCUACAUUUAGAGUAGGAUCUGCUACCAAUACCAAUAAGAUUUUAUUGGAAUAUGGAAUGUAAACAAAUGUUUCAAACAAACAUCUAACCUUAUAAAAAUGUAUGGCAUUAUUAAAUAGUUAAUAAAGAAAUCUUAAAGGGUGAUGUGGUAGACACCUCUAGUUCUAGCCUAGGUGUGUGAAGUCCCCACAGCUGUGGCAUGGCCCUGCAGCUGGGGUGAGGGGACUGCCUACAAACCAUGUUGCUCCUGAGUCCCCAAAAUGAAAUCAGCCCUAUUUUUGUUUAAACAAACUCUAGCUUUCUCUGCUAACAUGAAGGUUUGCAAAAUGGAUCCAACACUUGCUCCGGGAGCACCAUUUUCUUCCCCAAGCCCCUUGUAUAUUCCUCUGAGUUGCUUGAGUUUCAGAUGACCCUGCCCACACAACUCUAGUACCUGCAUGCAAGACAGACUUAUCUUUGCCAUCACAUAAAUGUAUCACAUAUCAGAACUUACAAAUGCAUAUUACCCUGAUUACAGUGGGAAACUGUGUCUCAUGGGGAUAAAAGGAGGUGGGAGAGAGAUAUUUUUUUCCAUAAGUCUUUCCUGAAAAAAUUCUAAUGGGAUGUUUUCCUCCCUCGCCUUGCCUGAAGACUGACUUUCCAGCUUUAGUUAUGGUUGUGAACAAAAAGGUCUCUGUUUCAGAGAGGUGCAUUAAAAUAGGCGCACACAUAGGGAUGUGCUGGGAAAUGGUGAAGUUCUCCUUACAAGGCUGCCAAAAAAAAAAAAAAAAAAAAAAAAGAAAAAGCAACAAAAAA
rnacentral:lncRNA from 1 species